AGUGAACGCUGGCGGUAGGCCUAACACAUGCCAGUCGAACGGCAGCACAGUAAGAGCUUGCUCUUACGAGUGGCGAGUGGCGGACGGGUGAGGAAUACAUCGGAAUCUACUUUUUCGUGGGGGAUAACGUAGGGAAACUUACGCUAAUACCGCAUACGACCUACGGGUGAAAGCAGGGGAUCUUCGGACCUUGCGCGAUUGAAUGAGCCGAUGUCGGAUUAGCUAGUUGGCGGGGUAAAGGCCCACCAAGGCGACGAUCCGUAGCUGGUCUGAGAGGAUGAUCAGCCACACUGGAACUGAGACACGGUCCAGACUCCUACGGGAGGCAGCAGUGGGGAAUAUUGGACAAUGGGCGCAAGCCUGAUCCAGCCAUACCGCGUGGGUGAAGAAGGCCUUCGGGUUGUAAAGCCCUUUUGUUGGGAAAGAAAAGCAGCAGGUUAAUACCCCGCUGUUCUGACGGUACCCAAAGAAUAAGCACCGGCUAACUUCGUG
rnacentral:rRNA from 1 species